rnacentral:rRNA from 1 species
UACGGAGGGUGCAAGCGUUGUCCGGAUUUAUUGGGUUUAAAGGGUGCGUAGGCGGCCCGUUAAGUCAGUGGUGAAAGCCUCCAGCUCAACUGGAGAACUGCCAUUGAUACUGACGGGCUUGAGUACAGACGAGGUUGGCGGAAUUCCUGGUGUAGCGGUGAAAUGCGUAGAUAUCAGGAGGAACACCUGUGGUGUAGACAGCUUACUGGACCAUAACUGACGCUGAGGCACGAAAGCGUGGGUAGCAAACAGG